UGCAAGUAUAAUGAUGGCUUCAUUCAUACAUGUUGUAGUAUUUCAAGCAUAACUUGAGCUACAAUAGUUAGAUUGAUGUCAUUCUUGUGCCAAUGCAAAGCUAAGAGACAGGCUACAACUUUCAUGUUUACCACUUUGUCCAGUUCAAAAGAGAUCAAGGUGAAAAUUGCAUAGUAAAAGGCUAGACUACUAUAGUUCUACACAAGGCAACACAAUGGAAUAAGAAACGUGCCCUUGAGUUACUCAAGGCUACAACACUGUGAUGCACGAGUGCAUCAUACAAAAUCCAAGGAACAAAGUGUCAUGACGCUGGUGAUGUGAAAUAACGCAUACUUGGUGUCACGAUCCGGUACUCCCAUCGAGCCCGUGACAACCACCCCGACGUCCCGGUAGACAUUCGUUACCCGGAGUGCCAACCAGAACCCUGUAAGGCUUUAGUACCAUUUUUUUUUC
rnacentral:lncRNA from 1 species